GCCUGAAUCAGUGUGUGUGUUAGUGGAAGCGUCUGGAAAGGCGCGCGAUACAGGGUGACAGCCCCGUACACAAAAAUGCACAUAUUGUGAGCUCGAUGAGUAGGGCGGGACACGUGGUAUCCUGUCUGAAUAUGGGGGGACCAUCCUCCAAGGCUAAAUACUCCUGACUGACCGAUAGUGAACCAGUACCGUGAGGGAAAGGCGAAAAGAACCCCGGCGAGGGGAGUGAAAAAGAACCUGAAACCGUGUACGUACAAGCAGUGGGAGCCUCUUAAUGGGGUGACUGCGUACCUUUUGUAUAAUGGGUCAGCGACUUAUAUUCUGUAGCAAGGUUAACCGAAUAGGGGAGCCGAAGGGAAACCGAGUCUUAACUGGGCGUUAAGUUGCAGGGUAUAGACCCGAAACCCGGUGAUCUAGCCAUGGGCAGGUUGAAGGUUGGGUAACACUAACUGGAGGACCGAACCGACUAAUGUUGAAAAAUUAGCGGAUGACUUGUGGCUGGGGGUGAAAGGCCAAUCAAACCGGGAGAUAGCUGGUUCUCCCCGAAAGCUAUUUAGGUAGCGCCUCGUGAAUUCAUCUCCGGGGGUAGAGCACUGUUUCGGCAAGGGGGUCAUCCCGACUUACCAACCCGAUGCAAACUGCGAAUACCGGAGAAUGUUAUCACGGGAGACACACGGCGGGUGCUAACGUCCGUCGUGAAGAGGGAAACAACCCAGACCGCCAGCUAAGGUCCCAAAGUCAUGGUUAAGUGGGAAACGAUGUGGGAAGGCCCAGACAGCCAGGAUGUUGGCUUAGAAGCAGCCAUCAUUUAAAGAAAGCGUAAUAGCUCACUGGUCGAGUCGGCCUGCGCGGAAGAUGUAACGGGGCUAAACCAUGCACCGAAGCUGCGGCAGCGACACUAUGUGUUGUUGGGUAGGGGAGCGUUCUGUAAGCCUGUGAAGGUGGCCUGUGAGGGUUGCUGGAGGUAUCAGAAGUGCGAAUGCUGACAUAAGUAACGAUAAAGCGGGUGAAAAGCCCGCUCGCCGGAAGACCAAGGGUUCCUGUCCAACGUUAAUCGGGGCAGGGUGAGUCGACCCCUAAGGCGAGGCCGAAAGGCGUAGUCGAUGGGAAACAGGUUAAUAUUCCUGUACUUGGUGUUACUGCGAAGGGGGGACGGAGAAGGCUAUGUUGGCCGGGCGACGGUUGUCCCGGUUUAAGCGUGUAGGCUGGUUUUCCAGGCAAAUCCGGAAAACCAAGGCUGAGGCGUGAUGACGAAGCACUACGGUGCUGAAGCGACAAAUGCCCUGCUUCCAGGAAAAGCCUCUAAGCAUCAGGUAACAUCAAAUCGUACCCCAAACCGACACAGGUGGUCAGGUAGAGAAUACCAAGGCGCUUGAGAGAACUCGGGUGAAGGAACUAGGCAAAAUGGUGCCGUAACUUCGGGAGAAGGCACGCUGAUAUGUAGGUGAAGCGACUUGCUCGUGGAGCUGAAAUCAGUCGAAGAUACCAGCUGGCUGCAACUGUUUAUUAAAAACACAGCACUGUGCAAACACGAAAGUGGACGUAUACGGUGUGACGCCUGCCCGGGGCCGGAAGGUUAAUUGAUGGGGUUAGCGGUAACGCGAAGCUCUUGAUCGAAGCCCCGGUAAACGGCGGCCGUAACUAUAACGGUCCUAAGGUAGCGAAAUUCCUUGUCGGGUAAGUUCCGACCUGCACGAAUGGCGUAAUGAUGGCCAGGCUGUCUCCACCCGAGACUCAGUGAAAUUGAACUCGCUGUGAAGAUGCAGUGUACCCGCGGCAAGACGGAAAGACCCCGUGAACCUUUACUAUAGCUUGACACUGAACAUUGAGCCUUGAUGUGUAGGAUAGGUGGGAGGCUUUGAAGUGUGGACGCCAGUCUGCAUGGAGCCGACCUUGAAAUACCACCCUUUAAUGUUUGAUGUUCUAACGUUGGCCCGUAAUCCGGGUUGCGGACAGUGUCUGGUGGGUAGUUUGACUGGGGCGGUCUCCUCCUAAAGAGUAACGGAGGAGCACGAAGGUUGGCUAAUCCUGGUCGGACAUCAGGAGGUUAGUGCAAUGGCAUAAGCCAGCUUGACUGCGAGCGUGACGGCGCGAGCAGGUGCGAAAGCAGGUCAUAGUGAUCCGGUGGUUCUGAAUGGAAGGGCCAUCGCUCAACGGAUAAAAGGUACUCCGGGGAUAACAGGCUGAUACCGCCCAAGAGUUCAUAUCGACGGCGGUGUUUGGCACCUCGAUGUCGGCUCAUCACAUCCUGGGGCUGAAGUAGGUCCCAAGGGUAUGGCUGUUCGCCAUUUAAAGUGGUACGCGAGCUGGGUUUAAAACGUCGUGAGACAGUUUGGUCCCUAU
rnacentral:rRNA from 1 species